rnacentral:rRNA from 1 species
CACGUAGGGCGCAAGCGUUGUCCGGAAUUAUUGGGCGUAAAGAGCUCGUAGGCGGUCUGUUGCGUCCGCUGUGAAAACUCGGGGCUUAACCCCGAGCCUGCAGUGGAUACGGGCAGACUAGAGGUAGGUAGGGGAGAAUGGAAUUCCCGGUGUAGCGGUGAAAUGCGCAGAUAUCAGGAGGAACACCGGUGGCGAAGGCGGGUCUCUGGGCAGUAACUGACGCUGAGGAGCGAAAGCGUGGGGAGCGAACAGG